CCUCACAUCACCAGGUAAUAGACAUGACUAAGUACACAUGUCCUCUCAUGAUCUGUAUGUAAGGAAUGAAUUCAGUCACUGGAUGUGUUUCCUACAGUUAAGGAAGAGAGAAGAACACCGGAGAGAUGUCCCAGUCCUCUUCUUCCACAAGAUGGUUCAGAAGAACAUCACAAUGUCCCACAGGAUGAUCAGUUUGUGAAUCCGGGUGAAGAUCUGAACAUGAUAUAUGUUACAGAGACACAUGUGAGGGAUGAUGAGCAGAUUAUAGAGGACAUUCCUACAGAUAACCGCCCAGAUAACUGGACCAGGAUCUCAGAGGAACAUCUGAAAACUCCAUAUUUUAAAGCAGGCGAUCAUGGUGUCACAGAGAAUACAUAUGAAGAGCAUGCCAAUAUUCGAAAUGCACCUUCGACCUUUCACAGCAAAGAUCUAUCAUCUGAUCCUUUGGACCAAGUCCACUCUAAUGAUUCAUUAUGGACCAUUAGGCAAAAUAAAAGUCACAGAAAGAGUGUUCAACAUCAAAGAACUUACACAGGGAAUAAACCAUUUUCAUCUUCAAAAUGUAGGAAAUAUAGUGCUAAAUCAACUCUGGUUACACAUCAGAGUACUCACAC